rnacentral:lncRNA from 1 species
AAACACACCCCUUUCCUGGAAACUCCCUGGCCUGGGUAUGGUUUAAUCCUACCACUAACUUGCUUUAUGGGCUUAUGAAUACUGUGCACCCUGGGCACAGCUGAAGUAAUUAAGCCCCCCAACCACUCCUUUCACCCUAUGCCCAGAACAUGCAGCAGCUUCUUCAGAGACCACUACAUUCAGUGCCAAGUCACUUAAUUACAUACCUAUUAAGGAUCUUGAAAAUGCAGGAUUGACCUGGAAUGCCUAGGUGGGCCCAUUAUAAUCACAAGUGUUUUUAUAAGAGACAGGGAGGAGGUUCAGAGAGG